rnacentral:rRNA from 1 species
AACGAACGCUGGCGGCAGGCUUAACACAUGCAAGUCGAACGCAUCCUUCGGGGUGAGUGGCAGACGGGUGAGUAACGCGUGGGAACGUGCCCUUCAGUUCGGGAUAACCCAGGGAAACUUGGGCUAAUACCGGAUACGUGCGAGAGCAGAAAGAUUUAUCGCUGAAGGAUCGGCCCGCGUCUGAUUAGCUAGUUGGUGGGGUAAUGGCCCACCAAGGCGACGAUCAGUAGCUGGUCUGAGAGGAUGAUCAGCCACAUUGGGACUGAGACACGGCCCAAACUCCUACGGGAGGCAGCAGUGGGGAAUAUUGGACAAUGGGCGCAAGUCUGAUCCAGCCAUGCCGCGUGAGUGAUGAAGGCCUUAGGGUUGUAAAGCUCUUUCGUCCGGGACGAUAAUGACGGUACCGGAAGAAGGAGCCCCGGCUAACUCCGUGCCAGCCGCCGCUGUAA